rnacentral:rRNA from 3 species
GGGUUGUGAGGUUAAGCGACUAAGCGUACACGGUGGAUGCCCUGGCAGUCAGAGGCGAUGAAGGGCGUGCUAAUCUGCGAUAAGCGCCGGUAAGGUGAUAUGAACCGUUAUAACCGGCGAUACCCGAAUGGGGAAACCCAGUGUG